rnacentral:rRNA from 1 species
GACGAACGCUGGCGGCGUGCCUAAUACAUGCAAGUCGAACGCAGUGGGGACGGGUGAGUAACACGUGGGUAACCUCCCAUCAGAGGGGAUAACACUUGGAUACAGGUGCUAAACCGAUACUGAUGGAUGGAGCCGGGGUGCAUUAGCUAGUGGGUGAGGUAACGGCUCACCAAGGCCCCGAUGCAUAGCUGGGCUGAGAGGAUGAUCAGCCACACUGGAACUGAGACACGGCCCAGACUCCUACGGGAGGCAGCAGUGGGGAAUAUUGGGCAAUGGACGAAAGGCUGACCGAGCCAUGCCGCGUGAGUGAAGAAGGUUUUCGGUUUGUAAAACUCUGUUAGUGGGGAAGCGUUACCUAAACAGAAAGCACCGGCUAACUACGUGCCAGCAGCUGCGGUAAUAC